UACGUAGGGGGCAAGCGUUAUCCGGAUUUACUGGGUGUAAAGGGAGCGUAGACGGCAGGGCAAGUCUGGAGUGAAAGGCAGGGGCCCAACCCCUGGACUGCUCUGGAAACUGCCCGGCUGGAGUGCAGGAGAGGUAAGUGGAAUUCCUAGUGUAGCGGUGAAAUGCGUAGAUAUUAGGAGGAACACCAGUGGCGAAGGCGGCUUACUGGACUGUAACUGACGUUGAGGCUCGAAAGCGUGGGGAGCAAACAGG
rnacentral:rRNA from 1 species